CUGUAAUGUGGUGGUAACAGAAUCCAAAUAGAAGGGAUUUAAGAUAAGAAUGAGUGGAUGGGAAGUGCAUGCGGCAAAUGGCAACUAUGUAUUUGAAAGGACUGGCUGUGAACUGAGGAGAGAGAGAGAGUUCAAUUUCUAGAAGGGAAAGCAAGUUCUACAAGCAUAUAAAAUUUACGAAGAAGCCAUGAAUCUCUGGAAACAUUCUGGAAACCUAGGAUUGAAGUAUAAAAUCUAAUCAUGUUGUGAAGGUCAAGAACCGUGAAGAUGCUGAAAUUUUUACCCUACUUACGAAACCAACAUGUUAGUUCCGUGGAUGGAGUUCCACGAUGCUGGAAGAAGACAUGAACUCCUGGGUCAGAGAUAAAGGACUUUACUUAAGGAAGAGCAAGCAGCGUGAGUUUUGUAUUAGCAUCAGUUCUUGUCUCUUAAGUCCCAUGGGGGUGAUGCAGAUGGGCUCAGAUGGAUGCCUGCAUAUACACUGUAAUGGGUUGCAUUAUAGGAGAACCCUGAACUUGGGGAAACUGAAUUGUUUAUAUUGGGCAGUAAGUAAACCUGCCUUUUCCUCUGAAAGAGACACUACCUUCUUUAUAUUAGACAAUAAAUUAAACUGCUCUUUGCUGCAGAGGAGGAUACCAUAUUGUCUAAGGCUGUUCACUAUACAGACAUCCCUGAUAAGACAGUCCAGAACAAAGGGCAAUCAGUGUCUCUCUUAUCUUUUAAUUUUUAAAGCAUUCACUUAUUAAUUUAAAAAUCUCUGUUAUACCUGCAGUACUCCCACUUCUCAUUCCUAGUAGCUUAUUUUUACUUCAUCACUUUUUCCCUUAUUCAAUCUUACCAGAGGUUUGUUCAGUUUGUCAAUGUUUCCAAAUACCAACACUUCAUUUUAUUGCUUCUGUACUUGACUUUUUUUUUUUAUUUCAUAGCUUUCUGUUCUUUUUGAUAUUAUUUUCCUUUUCCAACUUUCAUCGGGUUCAUUUAUUAUUUAGUUAUGGUAGUUAAAAUUUUUUAUGAUACCUUUCUCUUUAACUCCUGAAUCACCAGAAUUGUGUUUAAAAAUUUGCAAACAGAAAUAAUUAUUUUUAGCUAUUAUUUUAAUUUAUGUGUUUUCAUGAUAAGCUCUCAGCUGUAAAAAAAAAAAAAAACAAAUUUGAGAGGGCUGAACACAAUACAAGUUUAUUUCUUAUUCAUUCGAAGUCCAACAUAAAUGUUUCUAUAUAUGACACAGAAAGCAAGUUCCUUCCCUUUGAGAUUGCCAACAUUCUCAACAAGUAUCCCUGUGUGCUUUUGAUGAAGAGGAAGGAACAGUAUGGAAGAUUUCACAGGAUAUUCUGUGGUCAGGCCUGCAAGUACAUGCGUCACUUCUGCCCACAUUCAUAAGGACAGAGCUAAGUCUCAUAAAUACAAGGAAGGUGAAAAUGUGAUUUAACUGUAUGCCUAGCACAGAAAGGAGAAUCAGAAUCCCUGCCACAUUUUCUAAUGUAACUACAUUAUGGUCAUAACAUGUGUUCUGUAUGAUAUCAGUUCUUUGAAAAAUUUAAGACACAGCCCAUUUUUGCAAGUGUUUUUUUGUGUGUGUUGGAAAAUAAUGUAUAUUUUCCAAUUACUAAAUGCAAGUGUCUGUAUAUGUAUAUCAACUAAAUCAAAGUUGUUGAUUUUAUUGUUCAAAUUAUUUGCAUCCUAUUGGUUUUCCUUACCUACUUUAUGCAUUAAUAGCUAAGAGAUAUGUAUUAAAAAUUUCCCACAGUGUUGGUGGAUUUGUCAAUUUCUCCAUAGGUUUUAAAAUUUAUAUGCAAUUUAUUUUGAGGCUAUGAUAUUAAACAAUGUAAAUUUGCAAAUGUGAUCUCUUUUUAUUAUAUUCUUUAUUUUUAUAGAGUUCUCUUAUUAGUAUUUUUUUCCUUUAAAGAAUAUUUUGACUGAUAUUAAUUAUGGUCAUAUUACUUUUUUUUUUUGGUUAAAUUUGCCGGGUUCUCCUUCUGAAACUUUGAUUAGAUAUUUUGGACUUUCUCACUCUAUUCUUCUUGUGUCUUCAACUCUUUUAAAAUAUUUUGCAUCUUUUUAUCUCUAUUGCUUUAUUCUUUUU
rnacentral:lncRNA from 1 species